UUUCCCUCUCCCCUCAGCAGAUUCCUUGCUUUCACUGCCUUCCAUGCAGCAGGCUGAGCCAGAGCAGGUGAUCUCCCCUGCAGCUCCGCAGACCUUUCUAUGGGAAUGUCACAGUGGGAAUGGGCAUCCCCUGAGGGCUUUGAGAGUUUGUUGCCUAUUUCAAGGGCCUAAGAUUCAGGCAGAUGAGGGGCUGAAUGUGUCUGACAUGGAACCAGAGAAGGACAAGGAGACUGUACAGAGACAGAGGGAGAAGGAGGCUACUGAGGGCAGAGGGACAGGUCCACAGAGCAGGAAUUGGCAGAGGCUGCACUCCCCACAAGGGCUGGCUCUGUGGCCCUCCAAGCAGCAAUUUCUCCAAGAGGUACAUUAUGCAGCUUUGCUGCUCGGAGGAAGGGAAGCUGGCACUGCCCCUGCCUUGCCCCGCCCCCGCCCCUCCCUCUUUGGCACUUGCACAGAGCAAGUCUGAAACUGCAAGUGUCCGGGGAGACGGAGCAGCGUGGUGAUGGUGGUGACUGUGGAACAGACUGGUCAGGGAUGGGAACCAGCUGGGGUCCAGCUCAACACAGGGAUGCACAAGGCCUGAGGCCCUGACACGAGGGCAAGAGGUUGAUGUUACACUGGGACACACAGGGAGGAGAGACAAUUAUGCCAUUGGCACUUGUAUUCGGAGAAGAACACAGAAACUUUGAGUUGCUAGACAAAAUCUGGGUUCUUUACUGCCUCAUUCAUUUUAUUGAUGCCUUUCAAAUGCCUGGGUAAAUAUACAGAUUAGGAGAUACCUGGCAUGAAGUCACAUGCCCGGGUUCAGUAACCACUUACAAGAGCAUGUGCAGCCAGUGAGAAGAUCAGCAGACAAGGUCUGGUGUGGGCAGUGGGAACAUUUUGAGUUGAGUGUGGGCCACAACAAGGCCUGAAGUGGGCAUUAGGGGAUGGGUCAGCAGGAUGUGUUUGGAGUGCAGCGGGAUAGGAGCAGGCCUGGGAGUGGAUGAGUGAGUUACAGGCAGAGUUGGGAGCCUCACGUGCUAGCAGAGGGGAUUUCUUUCCUGCGUGACAGAGGGUAAAGGCCAGUGUGUCUUCCCUAACAUCGGCCAUCCUCCCUUGUCCCACAGCAGCUGUGGCUUGUGGUCACCGUGAAUUAGAAUAAGUACUCUCUGCUUCAUCAGUGGGUCUAAGUGCUGUCCCCAUCCUGUCUGGGCUGGAACAACUGAACCAAUGAGAUGUCCUUGAGGGGAGUCCAUGCUGCAUUAUGUUAUUCUGAAGUCAUCACAAUCCUAUUGCCCUUAGAUCACCCCCUCUUGUAUAAACCUCACACCAACCUUUCCUUAGGAAGAUGGGGUACAUCACCCUCCAGAAAGUGGCACUACCACUCCUCCCUGUGAUCAGAGGGGGUUGCUAGAGUGCGAGGAGUGGGGCUUACUCCCCACCCUAGACCAAGAGCCUCCAUUUCUCAUGGCACAAGGGCAAGACUGUUUGAGACCCCCGCUUGGCUGGAAGUACAGUCUCCACCCUUCUGCUGAGCUGGUCCAUGCUGCCCCUCAACUCAUAAUAUCUUCCUGCUCCCCAUCUGGCUGGUGAAUCUUCUGUCCCCGCCAGCUUUAGAGCCAAUGUCAACAAUGAGAGCAAAUAUGGAGCUUCCGCCUCUGAGCAGCAGAGCCACUAUUGCUGGGAGGGGCAGGGCUGAAGGAAGGGCAGUAAUGGGUUGGAAGAGGAAUCUCCCAGAUGACGAGGCUGACAGAGCAUCUCUCUGGGAGUUUGCAGCGGGCACACAUCCUAUGAUGUGUCACUUUAGCUACGCUCUCCUGCCAUGGGAGGAGUAGAAUGGCCUCUGGGAGCAAACAGACAUUCUGGCACCGUUCAUGACACUCCCCUCCUCGUCCAGGGAGUCCAUGUGCCUCUUCCCUGGCUUCCUCUCUGCCUAGCCCCGCUUCAUUCUGUUUGUCAGAUGGCACCAGUCUGUCUAUUGAGCCUGAAGUCCCUUGUCCCAGCAGCAGUAUCCAGGUCAUUUAUAGUAGCAUGAUGCAGAUCUUUGACUCUUCCCAUUCCUGGAAAUAUGCUCCUCUCCUCAAAGACCUUGAGUGCAGAUGCCUCUGCUAGGAAAACUCUCCCUGGUGAUGUGGCUCUGAAAAGUCUUAGUCUGAGCUGCUCGUGUUUCCACUUAAAUCAAAAGUGGGAACAUCCAAUUGAAUUCAUGAUUUGAAUUAGUGGAUUUAAUAGUGAUUGAAACCAGUAAGCAGGAAGUCUUGAUUUAAAUAGUCCAUUUUAAUCAUAUUUGAUAUUUGUACUUUUUAGUUAUUUUCCUAAGAUUGCAUAAAAACAUUGAUUUGCAUCUAAAUUUAGCAUUGACAUUAAUUUUAAUAUAUAUUUUUUUGCUUUUACAUUUUCUAUUGUGUUAGAAAAUGAUGAAAAAUAUUUAUUAAAUGGUCAAUUUUUUACUCAUGAUUUGCGUCAAUCUGCAUUUGGAUUGAAAUUGGAAUUCAGUUAAAAUUCAGAAAAAUCACAAUUUUGUAUUGUUUUAUUAAAUGAAACUACCUUUUGUGGGACCACAUAAAUGGCUAUUAUGUAACUAAAUAAAAUAAGUUAUCCAAACAUAUCUUGUGUUAAGAACUAAAUAGUUCAUUUAGAAGGCCAUUUUAUUUUUAGUUAUUGAAUUAAACUAGUUUUGGUCACCAGAUUUUAAAACUAGUAGAUCUCAUCAUCUACAGCUCAUUUUUAUUUGUAGCUUAAAAGAGGAAAACAAAAUUUUCCUGCUUUUUCACUUCUUAUUUCUCUCUCAAUUUUGAAUGACUUAGUCAUUGAACUUAAGUGGUUCAAUAAACUGAAAGAAAAAAAUAUUUUCUGGCCCACAGAAGAGGCUGCUGCAGUCAAAAGCUGAAGUACAAACUUAAUUUCCAGGUGCUUACCUCUUGACUUCUUCUGAUUCCGUGAUAUGACUUUCUUUAAAGCAUGCACUGAUCCACAUUAUUUAUAUUUAAUUUAAAUGAUUAUAAUAGAUUACAAUAUGCUUACGUUUUAGUAUAGCUUGUCCUAAAUUUCAAAUUUAGUUUGAAUUAGGUUUAUUUUUAAAUGCAUUAAAUUUAUAUUAAGAAAUUAUUAAAAUUUUACAAAAUGGAUUCCUCCUUAAAUAACUGAUUUUGCCCUGCACCUAUGGUUCCUCUCCUGAUUUGUUUGACCUGUAUCCUCCCUGGAAGUCUUAUGUUGUUCUGAUCUACAUGAGAGAUUCCCAAACCCAGUGAGAGCAAUUUCAUGCAUCUGAGUUCUGAAACUGAGUUUUUUGUGCAGUGUUAGGGAAAUCCUUAUGUGAUUCAUUAAUUGUUCUUACCCUUCCUCACAUUGCAGCCCUAACUGCGCUGAAGAGCUGUCCCACCCAGCUCCAUUCUGAUGCCAAUCUUGUCCUCAUAUAGUGAAUUGCAGGGGUGAUGAGGUUGCCUUUAGUUAAUCAUUCCAUCUCCUGAGAUAAGUGAGCAUUCCACAGCUCCUAUCUUCCAGCUGUCACAGUACUUUACUAUCACAUGAGACCCUAGCACAGCAAGAACUAUCAGUCUAGACUAGAGUCUGACAACAGUGGCUUCUAACUCACUGGCACCUUGGCCUCAGAUUUGGAUGGUUUGUUCUUUGUCAUACUGAAAACUUAGGAAAAUCAAGAGUCUCCACUGGUGAACCAGGUUUAGUUGCUCACUGUUCUAGGAUGACUUCUCUAGUGUCCAGACUGAAGCUUAAAAAAUUAGGAUCAGCAUGUGCCUGGCUGUAUGUGUAGGUCCAGAGACUGUCUGAGAGAAUCCCAUUGUAGUUACUACUGGAAAUAAUCAUCCCACAACUCCUGAGUAGGCACAGCAUGGUUUCUGCUACUCUGUUCACCAGAUUUUAUUCUCCCUUUCUUUCUGUAUAGAACUGUAUGUACAACAGAGCAGCUUCUAUCUGGGCAGCAGGGCAGAUCUACACCAUUCUUCAGUUAGCAAAGAAGGUGGUGUCUAAUGCUGUCCAGAGACACACCAGCCAGGCCAAAUGCCAGGUGAACUAUGUGCACCACUUCCAAUUAAUCAAACUUUCCUUGACUCCAGAAGAGCCCUGGGGGAUUUUCCAGGCCACCAGAUACUCAAGGGAAACUGGUGUCAUCUGCACAGGCAAAACAGAAUGGAUGGACAAAGCUCUACUUUGUGGUAGCUGUGGUAGCAGUUUUCCUGGUCAGAUCUGCAGCUGGUGUUAGACUAGUUCUGUUGGCUUCAUUGGAAUGCUACUGAUUGCAGUUGGCCAAAAUCCUAUCAGAUGUGCCUGUCAUUUAUGUAUUUAUACCGUGAUCACCACAGAGAUUGUGGAGUGCUGAUUUACUGCUGCAUAAUCAAUACCCUAUGGUGCAUUAGGAGAGAAAUGGAAAAAGCAACUGGUAUUCAAAAGGAAAUGGCUGAAGGUUUUUAGGGAGCUUACCUAGCUUGGGUAGGUUAUGGGGUAAUGUGCUCUUGUGCAAAUAUCACAGGCCCUUCCACCAGCAAAUGUCCAGGGGUCCAGUAUUACAUGUCUGAAUUAGAACAUCUCCAGCAAUACAGUACCAGGCUGGGCAAUCAGUUUAGUGCUGGCUCACAGUUACUUAAUUGCUGAUACCAUUUCAUAAAUGUCUGGACUUUUGGAGGUCUCCCAAGGAGAUUAUCAGAACCAAAGACAACACUGUGAUAUUAUAGCAUCCCCCACAGAAAAAAUCUGGGUAACCACUUUUAAGAAUGCCCUGCAGUUUCUUGCAGAAGCUUCUCUGGGUGGCUAUGGACCUCCUUUUAUCUGUGUACAGAGGAACUGGCUGAGUUAAUAUUUGAUCAGGACCUGCCUGCUGCUCUCUGACCUCAAGGCGUUUGUUCUUCAGGGAUAUUGCACAUAAUUUAGUUCUGUAAUAAACCAGUGAAGUAAUCUGCACCUUCGGCAAGCUGGAAGGAAACUGUAGAGUGUUUGAUCCUGGACUUCAAGCACCAGUUCAGCUUAAAACACAAAUAAGUGUUGCAAUCAAAGAGACCCAACUAUAACAGCAGUGCUGGACUGUCCUACAGUUGGAAACCCAACACAGUAGCCUUUGUUGUAAUCCUGCACAUCAGUCUCACCUGUCUCCCCAUUCACUUGUGUUUUUAUAAUCAUUUCUACCUGCACAGGGACCCUAGUGAAAAACUAGGGCCCCAUUCUGCUAGGUGCUGUACAGACAAGUGACAAAGACAACAAAGAGCUCACAAUACAAGUGGCAAACAAGACACAACAGGGUGAUGUGAGAGACAAAUCAGAUGGGAAAGACAGUGAAUAGAGCAUAGCAUAUUGCAGCUCUCUGCCCAGCACCUGGGAAAGAAAUGUCCUAUCACCAAAUACCAUCUCUGCAUCCAGAUGCCUUCUCUUUCUCUGACCUGUCCACAGUCUCACGUUUUCUGAAUCAUAGGACUAAGAACCCCCAUACAGUGAAUUAGGCAUUGAGCAUAUAGCUUCUGCCUGAGGUGUAGAUUGUAUUUUAGAAAGAGAUCCAGUCUUGAUUUAGUAACCUCAUAUGAUCGAAGGAGGAGAAAGUGAAUCGAAGGAGGAGAAAGUAGAAGGAUUGUGGGUUAGGUUACAUGGGGGUCAAGGAGAAAGGGAUUUGGUGG